UGACGGCCGUACCAUGCUGAAUAUACCGGUUCUCGUUAGAUCACCGAAGUUAAGCAUCAUUGGGCGCGGUCAGUACUUGGGAGGGUGACCACCUGGGAACACUGCGUGCCGUU
rnacentral:rRNA from 1 species